UACAGAGGUCUCAAGCGUUGUUCGGAUUCAUUGGGCGUAAAGGGCGCGUAGGCGGCGGGGUAAGUCGGGUGUGAAAUCUCAGAGCUCAACUCUGAAACUGCACUCGAUACUGCUCUGCUUGAGGACUGGAGAGGAGACUGGAAUUCACGGUGUAGCAAUGAAAUGCGUAGAUAUCGUGAGGAAGACCAGUGGCGAAGGCGGGUCUCUGGGCAGUUCCUGACGCUGAGGCGCGAAGGCCAGGGGAGCAAACGGG
rnacentral:rRNA from 1 species